AUUGAACGCUGGCGGCAUGCUUUACACAUGCAAGUCGAGCAGCAGCGCGGGGCUUGGGGCAACUUAAGUCUUGGCGGCGAGCGGCGAACGGGUGAGUAAUGCAUCGGGAACGUACCGACAAGUGGGGGAUAGCUCGGCGAAAGCCGGAUUAAUACCGCAUAUGCUGUGCGCAGGAAAGCUGGGGCUCUGUAACAGGACCUGGUGCUUGUCGAGCGGCCGAUGUCCGAUUAGCUAGUUGGUGGGGUAAAGCCUACCGAAGGCGACGAUCGGUAGCUGGUCUGAGAGGAUGAUCAGCCACACGUGGGACUGAGACACGGCCCAGACU
rnacentral:rRNA from 1 species